UUUGAUCCUUCGUUGUACUAAAAACUAUUCAACUGAAAUAAGCAUAGCAUGAGGUGUUUCACAAUAUAAAGUGAUCAAACAAUUUUGUAUUUGUUGCAUGCAAAGGUAGAGUAAAAAAUGGCUAAAACUCUCAUGGUUUUUUAUACAAUGAUCCUUUUUGUGUUCCUAUUUCUUUGUCUAGUCGAUGUUGGUGCUACAACAUGUGAGUCAGACGCCGAUUGUCUAGAUUUCGGAUGUCCCUUUAAACAUUGUGGAGUUUGUGUAAAUGGUCUUUGUAAGUGCUCUUUGGGGUUAAGGUAAAAAAAAAAUAUAUGUUAUGUGACAAUCUUUAAUUAUUUUU